AUUGAACGCUGGCGACAGGCCUAACACAUGCAAGUCGAACGAGUGGCGGACGGGUGAGUAAUUUCUGGGAAACUGCCUGAUGGAGGGGGCUAACUACUGUAAACGUUAGCUACUACCGCAUACCAUCAGAUGUUACCACAUGGGAUUAGCUUGUUGGUGGGGUAACGGCUAACCAAGGCGACGAUCCCUAGCUGGUCUGAGAGGAUGACCAGACACACUGGAACUGAGACACGGGACAGACGCCUACGGGAGGGAGCAGUGGGGAAUAUUGCACAAGGGGCGCAAGCCUGAUGCAGCAAUGCCGCGUGUAUGAAGAAGGCCUUCGGGUUGUAAAGUACUUUCAGCGGGGAGGCGUUACCCGCAGAAGAAGCACCGGCUAACGCCGUGCCAGCCGCCGCGGUAAUUC
rnacentral:rRNA from 1 species